GAGUUUGAUCAUGGCUCAGAUUGAACGCUGGCGGAAUGCUUUACACAUGCAAGUCGAACGGCAGCACGGACUUCGGUCUGGUGGCGAGUGGCGAACGGGUGAGUAACAUAUCGGAACGUAUCCAAUAAUGGGGGAUAACUAAUCGAAAGGUUGGCUAAUACCGCAUACGCCCUACGGGGGAAAGCUAGGGACCUUCGGGCCUGGCGUUAAUGGAGCGGCCGAUAUCUGAUUAGCUAGUUGGUGGGGUAAAGGCCCACCAAGGCGACGAUCAGUAGCUGGUCUGAGAGGACGACCAGCCACACUGGAACUGAGACACGGUCCAGACUCCUACGGGAGGCAGCAGUGGGGAAUUUUGGACAAUGGGCGCAAGCCUGAUCCAGCCAUUCCGCGUGAGUGAAGAAGGCCUUCGGGUUGUAAAGCUCUUUCGCAAGGGAAGAAAACUUAGAUACUAAUAUUAUCUGAGGUUGACGGUACCUUGAUAAGAAGCACCGGCUAACUACGUGCCAGCAGCCGCGGUAAUACGUAGGGUGCGAGCGUUAAUCGGAAUUACUGGGCGUAAAGCGUGCGCAGGCGGUUUUGUAAGUCAGAUGUGAAAUCCCCGAAGCUCAC
rnacentral:rRNA from 1 species